rnacentral:lncRNA from 1 species
UAUAAAACAUAAAAGUGUUCGAUUUUCAAUUUUUCUAAAUUACUUGCAGGGGUGGGGGCGGUGAGGAGAGUGGAAGGCGAUCCUUGUGCCAUCUGGCGGUGCCAUGCGGAAUUUCGCUGAAGAAGCCAAAUUUACUGACCAUCUGUGCCUAGGGUGGGUUUCUCCGGGGAAAGGCUUUGAACAUCUCGUCGUUUUGAAACCAAGUGGCACAGAAGUUUGAGAAAGGCCUAGGUGAGCUGUAGAGUUGAGCAUUUUGCUGCAUUUAUUCAGAGGAUCGUGCUGGCGUCUGUGCAAUAUCCACCACUGAACACGUGAGGGCGUGCUCAAGUCUCCCGGGCCCUUGGUGUCAAUCAUCUGAAAUUUGCAUACUAGUCCUCCAGUCGCUUGGAGCUUGUCAGUCCGCUGUGGCAGCUGUAAGGGAAAGAAUCGGACGGAGAAGAAUGAAAAACCACUUCGUUCUAGCAGAGCGAAAGAAAAGCAAACACGAACCAAGGACAUAACACUUUAUAAUGGGAAAACACUCUCCAGCCCCCGGCCAGCUCCAACACGCCGAAGAAACUUGUCUGAAACGAGAAUUUGGAUGCAACAGGGCA